ACACAUGCAAGUCGAACGGCAGCACAGGAGAGCUUGCUCUCUGGGUGGCGAGUGGCGGACGGGUGAGGAAUACAUCGGAAUCUACUCUGUCGUGGGGGAUAACGUAGGGAAACUUACGCUAAUACCGCAUACGACCUACGGGUGAAAGCAGGGGACCUUCGGGCCUUGCGCGAUUGAAUGAGCCGAUGUCGGAUUAGCUAGUUGGCGGGGUAAAGGCCCACCAAGGCGACGAUCCGUAGCUGGUCUGAUAGGAUGAUCAGCCACACUGGAACUGAGACACGGUCCUCACUCCUACGGGAGGCAGCCUUGGGGAAUAUUGGACAAUGGGCGGAAGCCUGAUCC
rnacentral:rRNA from 1 species